rnacentral:rRNA from 1 species
AAUAUUGGACAAUGGGGGCAACCCUUAUCCAGCCAUGCCGCGGGUGUGAAGAAGGUCUNUGGAUUNUNAAGCACGUUAAGUUGGGNGGAAGGGCUUUAGGCUAAUACCCUGAAGUUUUGACGUUACCAACAGAAUCAGCACCGGCUAACUCUGUUCCAGCAGCCGCGGUAAUACGGAGGGUGCAAGCGUUAAUCGGAAUUACUGGGCGUAAAGCGGGGGUAGGUGGUUCAGUAAGAUGGGUGUGAAAUCCCCGGGCUUAACCUGGGAACUGCUUUCAUAACUGCUGAGCUAGAGUACGGUAGAGGGUAGUGGAAUUUCCUGUGUAGCGGUGAAAUGCGUAGAUAUAGGAAGGAACACCAGUGGCGAAGGCGACUACCUGGACUGAUACUGACACUGAGGUGCGAAAGCGUGGGGAGCAAAC